GGGUUGUGAGGUUAAGCGACUAAGCGUACACGGUGGAUGCCCUGGCAGUCAGAGGCGAUGAAGGGCGUGCUAAUCUGCGAUAAGCGCCGGUAAGGUGAUAUGAACCGUUAUAACCGGCGAUACCCGAAUGGGGAAACCCAGUGUGACUCGUCACACUAUCAUUAACUGAAUCCAUAGGUUAAUGAGGCGAACCGGGGGAACUGAAACAUCUAAGUACCCCGAGGAAAAGAAAUCAACCGAGAUUCCCCCAGUAGCGGCGAGCGAACGGGGAGGAGCCCAGAGCCUGAAUCAGCAUGUGUGUUAGUGGAAGCGUCUGGAAAGGCGCGCGAUACAGGGUGACAGCCCCGUACACAAAAGCGCAUGUGCUGUGAGCUCGAUGAGUAGGGCGGGACACGUGAUAUCCUGUCUGAAUAUGGGGGGACCAUCCUCCAAGGCUAAAUACUCCUGACUGACCGAUAGUGAACCAGUACCGUGAGGGAAAGGCGAAAAGAACCCCGGCGAGGGGAGUGAAAAAGAACCUGAAACCGUGUACGUACAAGCAGUGGGAGCACCCUUUGGGGUGUGACUGCGUACCUUUUGUAUAAUGGGUCAGCGACUUAUAUUCUGUAGCAAGGUUAACCGUAUAGGGGAGCCGUAGGGAAACCGAGUCUUAACCGGGCGUUAAGUUGCAGGGUAUAGACCCGAAACCCGGUGAUCUAGCCAUGGGCAGGUUGAAGGUUGGGUAACACUAACUGGAGGACCGAACCGACUAAUGUUGAAAAAUUAGCGGAUGACCUGUGGCUGGGGGUGAAAGGCCAAUCAAACCGGGAGAUAGCUGGUUCUCCCCGAAAGCUAUUUAGGUAGCGCCUCGUGAAUUCAUCUCCGGGGGUAGAGCACUGUUUCGGCUAGGGGGCCAUCCCGGCUUACCAACCCGAUGCAAACUGCGAAUACCGGAGAAUGUUAUCACGGGAGACACACGGCGGGUGCUAACGUCCGUCGUGAAGAGGGAAACAACCCAGACCGCCAGCUAAGGUCCCAAAGUCAUGGUUAAGUGGGAAACGAUGUGGGAAGGCCCAGACAGCCAGGAUGUUGGCUUAGAAGCAGCCAUCAUUUAAAGAAAGCGUAAUAGCUCACUGGUCGAGUCGGCCUGCGCGGAAGAUGUAACGGGGCUAAACCAUGCACCGAAGCUGCGGCAGCGA
rnacentral:rRNA from 2 species